AUGGCAGGCCAACUUACUAGCUUUCAAGUAAGGUAACAUCUCAGACCAUCAUAGGUUUUGACAGGGGAAACUCUGAAGGACCACAGGAGUUGGAGGUUCCACGUAUCUCUAAGUAGUAACAUACGAUGGGUCCAAAACAGAAGAAAGAGAACUCAAGAUUCCCGAGCCACAGAGCUGUUGAUUGGAGGCUGACUCAGAGAAACCCUGGAUUCAGUGACAUACAGAGACAACAGGUGCUAGGACUUCCAGUGCGACAUUGAAAAUGACAGUGAAACCACACAUCCCUGCCUUGUUCCUGGUCCUCAGUCUUUCACCAUCAAGUUUGAUGCUACCUGUAGUUCUGCGUGCAUUUUGUAGAUGCUUAGUAUCAAGCUGAUUCCAAGGACGCUUCUAUCUUUAGACUGCUGUAUUAUGAGAGAGGAUGGGAGAAAUGAGAGCAUCAAGAAACAAAAGACUCAUGGAAUCAUAGGACAUUCAUCUUGGAUGAGACCAGAGAGGCCAACCCAUGUGUGUAUUUCCCCACCCCAUCCAACCCCCAGCAACUCACUCUCCUCUGGACACACCCAGUGACUUGGGAGCAGUCAGCUAUGCCCUAUGGGAAGCACAGGAGCUGCCUGCCUGCUUGCAACGACCAGCCAUUUGAUUUGCCUGCUCUGUACCCUGGCUGCAUCUCAAGGGCUCUUCAAGGGACAAAGAAGUUACAGUCAGAUUGGUUUCUGUGGACGGAAGCCUGGCAGCUCAGCACCUGUCAUGGGCCACCCCGAACACAGCAAGUGGAAAUGCGUCCUCUGGACCCCCACCUGCCUGGGACACUCACCUCAUCCUGACAGGCCCAGCCCUUCUCUGCCAUCCCGUGCUGCGAGGCACCACCAACUGCCAAGGUGUGGGCUGAAGGGCAGCGGCCCAGGCCAAUGGAGACUUGGGGAAGGUAAGGAAAGGAGAACCAAGAAUUAAGUGGGAUGGAGGGAGCAGAAAAGAGAAGAAGUGUCCCAGCAAGGAGGAACUUCCUGGGAAGAUGAAAUAAGAGGCAGAUUCUCCUCGGUGAGUGGUUGCAUAAGUCUAGGGCAGCUCCAUAGUAAGAUUCCAGGGGCAAUAGGGGUGGAUGGAACAUCAACGCAACCUCAAUGGCGGACCGCGGGGUGACAGCGAGGGGUGCCUCCUGCACACCGACAGGGUCUGGUAUUUACUUUAGCACAGGCCUCAGGAAUACAGUUCUGCCUCAUAAAAGACUAGGGAAUGCUGACAAAAGAAAGUUCUGUGCUUUCCUGACAACUGCAUGCACUGUCAGGAAACAGUGGGUCCUACUUAGAGUUGAGUUGGAAAAUGGAUUUGGGGGCUGAAGAAUCAAAUGAUGCUGUGAAGCACUCUCUUUGUGGCGUCUUCAUAACACUUCAUGCUUGUGGAGCUGGCAGUCACUGGAUUCAGCUUCCUCCCAAUGCAGGGAUUCCUUACACACAACUGCUGAGCAGCAUGCAGGGACCUAAGGCCACUCCGUGGUGCAGCCGGCUAAGAAAUGACAGGGCCACCAGGCCGGCUGCACUCCUGUACCUUCCUCUCUUAUUCAGUGCAGGAAGCCCAGUGUUCCUGUAGCAGGCAGCCCCAUGGUCUAGCUCAGUCUAGCUCCACAUCCUGUCCUCAAUGUGACAAAGAUCCUGUGCUUGGCCAGUCUUUAGUCAGGCCCUGAUCCUUCUCCUAGGCCCAUUAGCAAGAACCCCAGCUAAGUCAGUCUGGCAAGAAUUCCCCACAGAAACAUGCUGACAUGCUGACCUGCCUUCAGCAGGAAACCCUUUAGGCUGGUUUGGCCAGAACUGCCCGCAGACUUGGCGUCUCCUCUGAGUAACUUUACACCCACUGACCCUCUGCUCCUUGGCCAUCAGUGCCCACUCGUCCCCGUUGUACUUGUAACGGAGCCCAACCCAGCUCUUCACUGGAGUCUUUUUUGCAAUAGUCCUGAAUAAAAUGUGCCAUCACUGA
rnacentral:lncRNA from 1 species